AACGGAGAUCGUGACAGCGCUGCACUGCUCCGGGUCGCGACCAGACGACGACAAGCGGCGAGAGGGGCCGAUCGCGAUCGGGCAGCCAUGUCGACGUCGCGGAGGCGGACACUCCUCAAGGUCAUCGUCCUCGGCGACAGCGGGGUCGGGAAGACGUCGCUGAUGAACCAGUAUCCUUGACUUGAUUCCCUCAGUGUGUCGUGUUUUGGUAAUUAGACGCCGUUUCAUGUCCGUGCAGUCGGUCCCUCCAUUUCGUGUGAAUUGCUUUUUGCCCCAUGGAUCAACUUACGCCAUAGUGCUCGGAAGGCUGCAAAUUUGCAGCUCCUAUCGAUAAUCUGUGGCAUUUUAUAGACAUAUGAGUUUCAUCCGUUGAGCUGUAAGAACGCAUCUCUUUAGUUUUGGGGUAUGGAAUUUCGGAUUACCGUGAGCUCACACUGUUUACCUGCAUUCUCAUUCCUUGUGCUGUGCGUGAGCGGGACCUGUGAUUUUGUGAAUCUCGUUCUGAAAGCUCUGGUACAUUCGAACGUCAUGCUUAUUGCAGUCGGUGUCCGUACCAGAGGGGAUGGCGAGCUCCUUCUCCUUCACGCUGUUUUCACCAACGGAGAUCGUGACAGCGCUGCACUGCUCCGGGUCGCGACCAGACGACGACAAGCGGCGAGAGGGGCCGAUCGCGAUCGGGCAGCCAUGUCGACGUCGCGGAGGCGGACACUCCUCAAGGUCAUCGUCCUCGGCGACAGCGGGGUCGGGAAGACGUCGCUGAUGAACCAGUAUCCUUGACUUGAUUCCCUCAGUGUGUCGUGUUUUGGUAAUUAGACGCCGUUUCAUGUCCGUGCAGUCGGUCCCUCCAUUUCGUGUGAAUUGCUUUUUGCCCCAUGGAUCAACUUACGCCAUAGUGCUCGGAAGGCUGCAAAUUUGCAGCUCCUAUCGAUAAUCUGUGGCAUUUUAUAGACAUAUGAGUUUCAUCCGUUGAGCUGUAAGAACGCAUCUCUUUAGUUUUGGGGUAUGGAAUUUCGGAUUACCGUGAGCUCACACUGUUUACCUGCAUUCUCAUUCCUUGUGCUGUGCGUGAGCGGGACCUGUGAUUUUGUGAAUCUCGUUCUGAAAGCUCUGGUACAUUCGAACGUCAUGCUUAUUGCAGUCGGUGUCCGUACCAGAGGGGAUGGCGAGCUCCUUCUCCUUCACGCUGUUUUCACCAACGGAGAUCGUGACGGCGCUGCACUGCUACGGCAUCGCGCCUAGCCCCACCCUCUACGCCGAUCACGUCAAAAUCCUCGGCCUAGCUUCAUCACCAAGGUCCUCCAACUCUUCCUCGUCGACAUUCUUGGGUACGCCUGCAGCCUGCUCCCCAUCUCACCUGGAUCUGGCCUCAUCUCUGCAUUUGCUUGCUUUGUGGGGGCGGCGGCGGAUCUACAAGAGGGCCAAUGCCUUUCUCCAGUCCAUCCAGUUUCAGGACCACAUGCUCCGCGGCCUCCUCCGCGCGGAUAGUCCCCUUGUCGUCUACAUCCUCAGCGCCCCCAUCAACUUCCUUCACAGGCAUGAUAGCUCACAGCCCAUCACCAAAGAGUACGGCCCGCUUGAGGAACGGAUGAAGAAGCUCAUGGCUAAGAUCGCUGAGCAGCUCGAGAAGGAGUUCCAUGCCCUCAAGUGGAGGCUUCAUGAUUACAACAGAGAGCAGUUGUCGCUGCAUGUUGCAUCAAAAAGCCAUAGACGAAAAGAUAGAGUUAAGACUUAGGAAGAUCAACUAGGUGGAUUUUGAGUUGGUGAAAGCUAUGCAAGACAAGAAAAGUCUAUCAGACAAAACUGCUCAAUCCUCUAAAAAGCUCCAGGUAGGUUGUAUGUUUGUUUGUUUUAAACUGCUACAGGCAUAAAGUUUAUCAGGAAUUGAAUGUGUUUGAAUGCCUAAGCUACAAAAACCGAAAUCCAUUCAUACAAGCAACUCUGUAGGUUCUAGAAUUACUUUCCAUGGUAGAACAACAAGCCAUAGUUUUCCUAACUGUCUUACUCAAUUCAACUAGGACUUGCAAGUAUGUUGUCCUCCUUUCAAGUGUCGGAAUGAAUUUAUCUCUUCACAGUUCACCAUAACUAUGAAUGAAUUAUUUAGUCAACAUAUCAUUGCAAUCGUCAUUGGGUGCUCUAUCUAAGAUUGCGUUCUUUUUUUAAAAAAAAAUUGUCCACUGUCCCAGAAUCAGUAGUGUUUUCUUCUUUAUGUGCUAUGAGUGUAUUUUUUAUGUGCUUACAUUGUCAAAUUGCUUCGGUCAGAAUUAUGAGCUUCAAUCAGAUAAUCACCAUCUUGUGCUAGCUUCCAUAGUAACUAUGGAUUUUAUCUCCUACAACUAAAAUUUCAAUCAUUUUAUCUUUUAAUAUAUUUGUUGACAUGACAUAAAAGGUGUAUUUAUUUGUCCUGUGGCUAGCCAAGGCCUAGAAUCUAAAAUUUCUGAACUUGAAUCUUCGUUGGAUUGCUAGAUGUUUAUGAACAAGUGUGCUAAUAUAAUGUGUGUUUCGUUCUGUUCUGCUGUUGUACAAAAGUUGAAUGCCAAGAAGGUUAUUUUAAGUGGGAAGAACAGCUGCAGAGAAGUCAUUUAGAUUCUGUGUUCUCAGGUCUAAUGUGAAGUAACCCUUCUCACUUUUCAAUUUAUUUUUCUGUUCCCCUACCUUUUUGUCUCAGAGAACCAUCUAGCCUGGACAUGUAGUCUGCUACUGUAGUAAAUAUGCAAUCCUGAAUAGCAAGCCUGAACCUGCUAACUGUUUAGUACAGAGAAGCAAUGAACUGUGAUGAGCUAAGUGUGUAAUUUGAAUUUCUUGACAGCAUCACAAGUAUUGCCCAUUGGGUGAAUCUUAUGCAUUUGUGAAGUCGUUUAUAACUUAAAUUCACUUAAAGGCAUCCUUCUACUGACACACUAUUCAUCAGUGACCUAAUUGUGCUCAGGGUACUACAAGCGAGAGGACCUAAUAAACAAAGUUAUGGUCGAUGGCUGGUUCCACAUAGGUAUAACGAUCCAUGUUCCAGUAUUCCUGCAGCAUCUGAUCGAACAUGUCCAUGUCAGCAUCACUGGCGGUCAAAAAAAUGUCUAAGGGAACUGGUGCUUUCAUAGCCCUGCUUUGUCUACAAUUUUAUGGCAUGCAUUAACUCCUCGAAGAUCAUUGAUAACUGUCUUGAAAGUGACCCUGACUUAACUUGCCAUCAGAAAUACCUUUGAAAAUUUUCCAAAAGUCUAGAUAUCUUUCCAACAGUUCACUGUCAAAAUAUUACUAUUUAUUAUUGCAGGAGACAUUGGGGAGAGGCAGUCCGACAGAAGCAUGAAGAUCAUUGACCGCGAAGA